UUUAUGGAGAGUUUGAUCCUGGCUCAGGAUGAACGCUGGCGGCGUGCCUAAUACAUGCAAGUCGAGCGAACGGACGAGAAGCUUGCUUCUCUGAUGUUAGCGGCGGACGGGUGAGUAACACGUGGAUAACCUACCUAUAAGACUGGGAUAACUUCGGGAAACCGUAGCUAAUACCGGAUAAUAUUUUG
rnacentral:rRNA from 1 species